rnacentral:rRNA from 1 species
UACGUAGGGGGCAAGCGUUAUCCGGAAUAACUGGGCGUAAAGGGUGCGCAGGUGGUAUAGCAAGUUAGAGGUGAAAAGCAUAGGCUCAACCAAUGUAAGCCUUUAAAACUGCGAUACUUGAGUGCGGGAGAGGAAAGUGGAAUUCCUAGUGUAGCGGUGAAAUGCGUAGAUAUUAGGAGGAAUACCGGUGGCGAAGGCGACUUUCUGGACCGUAACUGACACUGAGGCACGAAAGCGUGGGGAGCAAACA